rnacentral:rRNA from 1 species
UGGGGAAUUUUGCGCAAUGGGCGAAAGCCUGACGCAGCAACGCCGCGUGAGUGAUGAAGGCUUUCGGGUCGUAAAGCUCUGUCAGGGGGAAAGAAGUGUAUUGUGGUUAAUACCCACGAUACUUGACGGUACCCUCAAAG